UGGCGAACGGGUGAGUAACGCGUGAGGAACCUGCCUCAAAGAGGGGGACAACAGUUGGAAACGACUGCUAAUACCGCAUAAGCCCACGGGUCGGCAUCGACCUGAGGGAAAAGGAGCAAUCCGCUUUGAGAUGGCCUCGCGUCCGAUUAGCUAGUUGGUGAGGUAACGGCCCACCAAGGCGACGAUCGGUAGCCGGACUGAGAGGUUGAACGGCCACAUUGGGACUGAGACACGGCCCAA
rnacentral:rRNA from 1 species